rnacentral:tRNA from 1 species
GCCGGGAUAGCUCAGUUGGUAGAGCAGAGGACUGAAAAUCCUCGUGUCACCNGUUCAAAUA